AUCUGUACAUGUUUUGCUCUGAACUAAGUCAAUAGUAUACAGUUGGGUUGCAUAUUAAGUGCUUUGGGGGCCUUCUGUAAGUUAUUUGGGGGUACAAUGGUUGUGGAGAAAGCUGCAAGCAGCAAUACAGGAGGCUAACCAAUCGCUUGUUUCCAACAGGCACAUUUUGAAUGAGCACUGCACAAGUCAUACAAAAUGAAAGAUGCCUGUUUCUAGAUACUAGAGGAACUUAAUGACAUUCACAUCACUGAUAGUGUUUGUCUUCUCUGCAGUGACCCACUGCCAUUAUGACUCUGCUGAUACUAUUUGGAUUUUACGUGUGAAGAACAACAAUACUGCAUACAAACGUCCGAUUUUAAUGUUUGAGGGAGGACAGGCUGGAUCGUUAACAGCAGCAUAGCAUAUCAUAACUUCACAUGCGUUUCCCAUACUAGGCCAAACAGCCUGUCACAUCACAAGCAGUGUAAACAGGUCUGAAGCAAAGUUUGCAAAUGUGAUUGACAG